CCUACGGGUGGCAGCAGUGAGGAAUAUUGGUCAAUGGUCGGGAGACUGAACCAGCCAAGCCGCGUGAGGGAGGAAGGUACAGAGUAUAGUAAACAUCUUGUGUCAGGGAACAAAGGUGGGGACGCGUCCCAGGAUGAGGGGACCUGAAGAAAAAGAAUAGGAUAAUGUUGUGCAAGCAGACUCGGUAAUACAGAGGAUGCGAGCGUUAUCCGGAUUUCUUGGGUUUAAAGGGUGCGCAGGCGGUCUGUUCAGUCAGCUGUCAAAGCCCGGGGCUAAACCCCGGCCCGACGUUGAAACUGGCAGUCUCGAGUUGGUGAGAGGGAUGCGGAAUGCGCGGUGUAGCGGUGAAAUGCAUAGAUAUCGCGCAGAACUCCGAUUGCGAAGGCAGCAUGCCGGCUCCACACUGACGCUGAGGCACGAAAGCGUGGGUAUCGAACAGGAUUAGAUACCCCUGUAGUC
rnacentral:rRNA from 1 species